AGCGGGAAGUAGUUUACUACUUUGCCGGCGAGCGGCGGACGGGUGAGUAAUGUCUGGGAAACUGCCUGAUGGAGGGGGAUAACUACUGGAAACGGUAGCUAAUACCGCAUAACGUCUUCGGACCAAAGUGGGGGACCUUCGGGCCUCACGCCAUCGGAUGUGCCCAGAUGGGAUCAGCUAGUAGGUGGGGUAAUGGCUCACCUAGGCGACGAUCCCUAGCUGGUCUGAGAGGAUGACCAGCCACACUGGAACUGAGACACGGUCCAGACUCCUACGGGAGGCAGCAGUGGGGAAUAUUGCACAAUGGGCGCAAGCCUGAUGCAGCCAUGCCGCGUGUGUGAAGAAGGCCUUCGGGUUGUAAAGCACUUUCAGCGAGGAGGAAGGCCAAUAACUUAAUACGUUGUUGGAUUGACGUUACUCGCAGAAGAAGCACCGGCUAACUCCGUGCCAGCAGCCGCGGUAAUACGGAGGGUGCAAGCGUUAAUCGGAAUUACUGGGCGUAAAGCGCACGCAGGCGGUUUGUUAAGUCAGAUGUGAAAUCCCCGCGCUUAACGUGGGAACUGCAUUUGAAACUGGCAAGCUAGAGUCUUGUAGAGGGGGGUAGAAUUCCAGGUGUAGCGGUGAAAUGCGUAGAGAUCUGGAGGAAUACCGGUGGCGAAGGCGGCCCCCUGGACAAAGACUGACGCUCAGGUGCGAAAGCGUGGGGAGCAAACA
rnacentral:rRNA from 1 species